UCGAAAAAUGGAAAAAUGUAAAAAACAACUUGUACAGACUAUAUGCCUUUUUUUUUGUUUAUUUCUUGUU
rnacentral:ribozyme from 1 species